rnacentral:rRNA from 1 species
UGGGGAAUAUUGCACAAUGGGCGCAAGCCUGAUGCAGCCAUGCCGCGUGUGUGAAGAAGGCCUUCGGGUUGUAAAGCACUUUCAGCGAGGAGGAAGGUGGUGAGCUUAAUACGCUCAUCAAUUGACGUUACUCGCAGAAGAAGCACCGGCUAACUCCGUGCCAGCAGCCGCGGUAAUACGGAGGGUGCAAGCGUUAAUCGGAAUUACUGGGCGUAAAGCGCACGCAGGCGGUUUGUUAAGUCAGAUGUGAAAUCCCCGGGCUCAACCUGGGAACUGCAUUUGAAACUGGCAAGCUAGAGUCUCGUAGAGGGGGGUAGAAUUCCAGGUGUAGCGGUGAAAUGCGUAGAGAUCUGGAGGAAUACCGGUGGCGAAGGCGGCCCCCUGGACGAAGACUGACGCUCAGGUGCGAAAGCGUGGGGAGCAAAACAGGAUUAGAUACCCUGGUAGUCCACCGCUGUAAACGAUGUCGAUUUUGGAGGUUGUGCCCCUUGAGGCGUGGCUUCCGGAGCUAACGCGUUAAAUCGA